rnacentral:rRNA from 1 species
CGAGUCUGCCUUGAAGAUCGGAGUGCUUGCACUCUGUGAAACAAGAUACAGGCUAGCGGCGGACGGGUGAGUAACACGUGGGUAACCUGCCCAAGAGAUCGGGAUAACACCUGGAAACAGACGCUAAUACCGGAUAACAACAGAUGAUGCCUAUCAACUGUUUAAAAGAUGGUUCUGCUAUCACUCUUGGAUGGACCUGCGGUGCAUUAGCUAGUUGGUAGGGUAACGGCCUACCAAGGCGAUGAUGCAUAGCCGAGUUGAGAGACUGAUCGGCCACAUUGGGACUGAGACACGGCCCAAACUCCUACGGGAGGCAGCAGUAGGGAAUCUUCCACAAUGGACGCAAGUCUGAUGGAGCAACGCCGCGUGAGUGAAGAAGGGUUUCGGCUCGUAAAGCUCUGUUGUUGGUGAA